rnacentral:rRNA from 1 species
UACGGGGGGGGCAAGCGUUGUUCGGAAUUACUGGGCGUAAAGCGCACGUAGUCGGCUUUGCAAGUCGGGUGUGAAAUCCCCGGGCUCAACCUGGGAACUGCAUCCGAGACUGCAUUGCUAGAGUAUGGGAGAGGGAAGCGGAAUUUCUGGUGUAGCAGUGAAAUGCGUAGAUAUCAGAAGGAACAUCAGUGGCGAAGGCGGCUUCCUGGACCAAUACUGACGAUCAGGUGCGAAAGCGUGGGGAGCAAACAGG